CUCUGGUUCGACGUAAUGUCAAUGGGACCAGGGCGGAAAGAG
rnacentral:ncRNA from 1 species